GUCCUCUUCUGGGGACUUACGGGCCACUUUGUUAUGAUGAGUCCUGGGCCCUAUGGAGCCAUUGUUGAGGAUUUCCAGCAGCACCCAGUCUGCAUCAACAACUUCUGGAAGCAGAGAGUCCCUGAACCUUGGAGCAAGGAGAGAUGUAACAUACAGCCUCGGAGGGGUUGGAGGAGAGGUCCAUGGAGAUCACCUGGCUCAGCCUUCUCGUUUUCCAGAUGAUUUUUUUUAGUCCAAAGAGACUAAAUGACUUGACUAAGGCCACACAGCAUGUCAGCGGGCCAGCUAGGACUCCACCCACAGCCCCUGAGUCUGGGGAUCCCUGUGCUCUUGGCUCUGAGCAAGGCUGCCUCACUUCAUUUUAGUUUAGUCUGUGUGACUUGAGCACAAGUUCUGCACACAAAACUGUGCAAGGCCACUAAUAGCACUCACAGAGCAGUGCUAUCCCUUCCUUCCUUUGAAAUGGUGGAGGUGGAGACAGUACAUACAAGAGUUACUCAAGACAAGGAUGAGGGUGCAGGGAGGAAGCCGAGCCCUUCCAUGCCACCUCUGAGACAGCUGGAGGGCAUAGCCGCUCCAUGGCUGCAGCCCGGUUUAGAAUGUGCCAGGGGUGGGGUCAGGCACCGCUUUCUUAAAUGAUCUUUCCUCUGUUGUCUCAAGACAUUUUCCAAGUACCAGACAGGACAAAAUGGCUUAGAUGUAAGCCUCUCUACUUUGCCGCAGGCCCCAGUGCUCUCUGUUGUCCCACCUAGGCUCCUGCUGCCUGCCCUGAUGUCUGCAGAUUCACUUGGUCAAGAGGAGUUCCUUCUAUGCCUGCUGUGUUUUUCAGCCAUAGCACAGAACUGUUUUAUGGGGGGAGCAUGCUCAUGCGCUAAAUCAGUGGUCUCUCACUCAGGGAGGAAGAGAGGCCAACAUUUGCUGAGGGCUUACUGUGCCCUGGGUUCUCAGCUGUCCCCACGAGGGGGUGCAAUGCCCUUGGUUUUAAAGAGAUGAAAAUAUCAAGGCUCCAAGAGGUAAAAAACUUGCCCCAGGCCACCUAGAUGUGGCUGGUGAAGCUAUGUUUGAACCCACCGCUGACUAACUCCAAAAUU
rnacentral:lncRNA from 10 species